rnacentral:rRNA from 1 species
AUUGAACGCUGGCGGCAUGCUUUACACAUGCAAGUCGAACGGUAACAGGCCGCAAGGUGCUGACGAGUGGCGAACGGGUGAGUAAUGCAUCGGAACGUGCCCAGUCGUGGGGGCUAACGCAGCGAAAGCUGUGCUAAUACCGCAUACGAUCUGUGGAUGAAAGCGGGGGACCGUAAGGCCUCGCGCGAUUGGAGCGGCCGAUGUCAGACUAGGUAGUUGGUGGGGUAAAGGCCUACCAAGCCGACGAUCUGUAGCUGGUCUGAGAGGACGACCAGCCACACUGGGACUGAGACACGGCCCAGACUCCUACGGGAGGCAGCAGUGGGGAAUUUUGGACAAUGGGCGCAAGCCUGAUCCAGCAAUGCCGCGUGCAGGAAGAAGGCCUUCGGGUUGUAAACUGCUUUUGUACGGAACGAAACGGUCUGGGUUAAUACCCUGGGCUAAUGACGGUACCGUAAGAAUAAGCACCGGCUAACUACGUGCCAGCCGCCGCCGUAAAAC